GUCUUUGUGGUGGAAGGGCCAGCACACUCGGCGCUCAUUCGAGAGGUCCCAGGUUCGAGUCCCGGCGAGGGCA
rnacentral:tRNA from 1 species